rnacentral:tRNA from 1 species
GCGGAUAUAGCUCAGCAGGUAGAGCGCGAUCACGUGGUCGAGGCCUCGGGUUCGAACCCCGGUAUCCGCG